rnacentral:rRNA from 1 species
CCUACGGGAGGCAGCAGUCGAGAAUCAUUCACAAUGGGGGAAACCCUGAUGGUGCGACGCCGCGUGGGGGAAUGAAGGUCUUCGGAUUGUAAACCCCUGUCAUGUGGGAGCAAAUUAAAAAGAUAGUACCACAAGAGGAAGAGACGGCUAACUCUGUGCCAGCAGCCGCGGUAAUACAGAGGUGUCAAGCGUUGUUCGGAAUCACUGGGCGUAAAGCGUGCGUAGGCUGUUUCGUAAGUCGUGUGUGAAAGGCGCGGGCUCAACCCGCGGACGGCACAUGAUACUGCGAGACUAGAGUAAGUGAGAGGGAGCCGGAAUUCGAGGUGUAGCAGUGAAAUGCGUAGAUAUCGAGAGGAACACUCAUGGCGAAGGCAGGUUCCUGGACAUUAACUGACGCUGAGGCACGAAGGCCAGGGGAGCGAAAGGGAUUAGAUACCCGGGUAGUC